rnacentral:ncRNA from 1 species
AAAUGCGGGUAGAGCAUCGCUCGACGUGGAGUUGCGUCAUACAACCGGGUUCCGUGACCCAGAUUACGGAAGAGGCUUAGAUAGUCCUCGUGCCAAACCAAGGUAGAAGUCACAACCAAACAGUCGUGUCUUUAAUUGGUACCUGCGGAAUUGUUCCAAGGGGGCGGUGAUUGACGCUUGAAUUAAUCCUAUACUAGGAACCGUGAGAUUAAGCCAUCGCGGCAGGUGCUCACGUUAAGCCCACUGACUUUCAUGUCCCUAUCUACUAUCUAGCGAAACCACAGCCAAGGGAACGGGCUUGGAAUAAUUAGCGGGGAAAGAAGACCCUUUUGAGCUUGACUCUAAUCUGGCAGUGUAAGGAGACAUAAGAGGUGUAGAAUAAGUGGGAGAUAUUAGACUUCGGUUUGGUAUCGACAAUGAAAUACCACUACUCUUAUUGUUUCCUUACUUACUUGAUUAAAUGGAACGUGUAUCAUUUCCUAGCCAUUAUACGGAUAUAAUUAUUAUGUCUUAUGGUAUUGGGUUUUGAUGCAAGCUUCUUGAUCAAAGUAUCACGAGUUUGUUAUAUAAUCGCAAACAAAUUCUUUAAUGAGAGAAUGCAUUUAUGUAUUAUUGAUUUAAAAAUUUGGUAUAACUCCAAUUACUCAGGUAUGAUCCAAUUCAAGGACAUUGCCAGGUAGGGAGUUUGACUGGGGCGGUACAUCUCUCAAAUAAUAACGGAGGUGUCCCAAGGCCAGCUCAGUGCGGACAGAAACCACACAUAGAGCAAAAGGGCAAAUGCUGACUUGAUCUCGGUGUUCAGUACACACAGGGACAGCAAAAGCUCGGCCUAUCGAUCCUUUUGGUUUAAAGAGUUUUUAACAAGAAGUGUCAGAAAAGUUACUCAUAGGGAUAACUGGCUUGUGGCGGCCAAGCGUUUCAUAGCGACGUCGCUUUUUGAUCCUUCGAUGUCGGGCUCUUCCUAUUCACUGUGAAGUAAAAUUCACCAAGCGUUGGAUUGUUCACCCAUGCAAGGGAACGUGAGCUGGGUUUAGA